rnacentral:rRNA from 1 species
UCGGCUUGACAUGCACGUGGUACUGAGGGGAAACCUGAGGGACUCGCAAGAGAGCGUGCACAGAUGCUGCAUGGCUGUCGUCAGCUCGUGCCGUGAGGUGUUGGGUUAAGUCCCGCAACGAGCGCAACCCUUGUCCUUAGUUGAAAUCUCUAGGGAGACCGCCGGUCUAAACCGGAGGAAGGUGGGGAUGACGUCAAGUCAGCACGGCUCUUACGUCGAGGGCUACACACACGCUACAAUGGCCGGUACAACGGGCUGCAAAGGGGCGACCUGGAGCUAAUCCCACCAAAGCCGGUCUCAGUUCGGAUCGCAGGCUGCAACUCGCCUGCGUGAAGUCGGAGUUGCUAGUAACUGCUGGUCAGCACACAGCAGUGAAUACGUUCCCGGGCC